rnacentral:misc_RNA from 1 species
UGGCUCUCGCAUCGAUGAAGAACGCAGCGAAAUGCGAUAAGUAAUGUGAAUUGCAGAUUUCAGUGAAUCAUCGAAUCUUUGAACGCACCUUGCACUCUUUGGUAUUCCGAAGAGUAUGCCUGUUUGAGUGUCAUUAAAUUCUCAAACCUUUCUGGCUUUUAUUGGUCGAAAAGGCUUUGGAUGUGGGAGUUGCUGGAACUAGCCUUUCAGCUCUUCUUAAAUGUAUUAGCGGGUUACUGAUUUCCGCUACUUGGUGUUGAUAGUCUAUCUUACGCCUUGUAGUUGAAUCAACUUAUGUAGCUGCUUCUAAUCGUCGACUUGGUUGACAAAUAUACUUGACUAUUUGACCUCAAAUCAGGUAGGACUACCCGCUGA